AUACGGAGGGUGCAAGCGUUGUUCGGAAUCACUGGGCGUAAAGGGCGCGCAGGCGGUUUGGUAAGUCAGAUGUGAAAGCCCAUGGCUCAACCAUGGAAGUGCAUUUGAAACUGUCAGACUUGAGUACUAGAGGGGAAAGUGGAAUUCCCGGUGUAGAGGUGAAAUUCGUAGAUAUCGGGAGGAAUACCGGUGGCGAAGGCGACUUUCUGGCUAGAUACUGACGCUGAGGCGCGAAAGCGUGGGGAGCAAACAGGAUUAGAAACCCUAGUAGUCC
rnacentral:rRNA from 1 species